rnacentral:tRNA from 1 species
UGGGGUGUAGCCAAGCGGUAAGGCACCGGCCUUUGGAGCCGGCAUUCCUAGGUUCGAAUCCUAGCACCCCAG